rnacentral:rRNA from 1 species
UGGGGAAUAUUGCACAAUGGGCGCAAGCCUGAUGCAGCCAUGCCGCGUGUAUGAAGAAGGCCUUAGGGUUGUAAAGUACUUUCAGCGGGGAGGAAGGUGAUAAGGUUAAUACCCUUAUCAAUUGACGUUACCCGCAGAAGAAGCACCGGCUAACUCCGUGCCAGCAGCCGCGGUAAUACGGAGGGUGCAAGCGUUAAUCGGAAUUACUGGGCGUAAAGCGCACGCAGGCGGUCAAUUAAGUCAGAUGUGAAAGCCCCGAGCUUAACUUGGGAAUUGCAUCUGAAACUGGUUGGCUAGAGUCUUGUAGAGGGGGGUAGAAUUCCAGGUGUAGCGGUGAAAUGCGUAGAGAUCUGGAGGAAUACCGGUGGCGAAGGCGGCCCCCUGGACGAAGACUGACGCUCAGGUGCGAAAGCGUGGGGAGCAAACAGG